rnacentral:rRNA from 1 species
UACGUAGGGGGCAAGCGUUGUCCGGAAUCAUUGGGCGUAAAGAGCGUGUAGGCGGUCCGGUAAGUCUGCUGUGAAAGUCCAGGGCUCAACCCUGGGAUGCCGGUCGAUACUGCCGGACUAGAGUUCGGAAGAGGCGAGUGGAAUUCCCGGUGUAGCGGUGAAAUGCGCAGAUAUCAGGAGGAACACCUAUGGCGAAGGCAGCUCGCUGGGACGUUACUGACGCUGAGACGCGAAAGCUAGGGUAGCAAACGGG